AGAGUGUAUCUCUGUGUUAAUGUGUAUGUAUAUCUGUGUAAGUAUGAAUGUGGCAGUGUAUGUGCAUACAACCCAGAAAUCAAACACCAACACUGCAUGCAAACACAAACAUUACAUACAAAAACACGCCUGAAUUCAAACUCCAAAAAUAUAUACAAACACACCCUUCAUUCAAACACCAAUACUACACAUAUGCAUUUAAAAGCCAACACUACAUCCAAACACACCACUACACGCAAAUGCAAACAUUACAUACAAACACCAACUUUAC